rnacentral:rRNA from 1 species
UACGUAGGGUGCAGGCGUAAUCGGAAUUACUGGGCGUAAAGCGUGCGCAGGCGGUUUGCUAAGAGAGAUGUGAAAUCCCCCGGGCUUAACCUGGGAACUGUGUUUUUAACUGGCAGGCUUGAGUGUGGCAGAGGGGGGGUGGAAUUCCACGUGUAGCAGUGAAAUGCGUAGAGAUGGAGUGACGAACAGCCGAGUGGCGAACGUGC